CAGCAGCCGCGGUAAUACGAAGGGGGCUAGCGUUGCUCGGAAUCACUGGGCGUGAAGCGCACGUAGGCGGACUCUUAAGUCAGGGGUGAAAUCCUGGAGCUCAACUCCAGAACUGCCUUUGAUACUGAGAGCCUUGAGUUCGGGAGAGGUGAGUGGAACUGCGAGUGUAGAGGUGAAAUUCGUAGAUAUUCGCAAGAACGCCAGUGGCGAAGGCGGCUCACUGGCCCGAUACUGACGCUGAGGUGCGAAAGCGUGGGGAGCAAACAGGAUUAGAUACCCCUGUAGUCCCUGUCUCUUAUAA
rnacentral:rRNA from 1 species